CCUACGGGUGGCAGCAGUGAGGAAUAUUGGUCAAUGGGCGCGAGCCUGAACCAGCCAAGUAGCGUGAAGGAUGACUGCCCUACGGGUUGUAAACUUCUUUUAUAAAGGAAUAAAGUGAGGCACGUGUGCCUUUUUGUAUGUACUUUAUGAAUAAGGAUCGGCUAACCACGUGCCAGCAGCCGCGGUAAUACGGAGGAUCCGAGAGUUAUCCGGUUUUAUUGUGUUUAAAGGGAGCGUAGAUGGGUUGUUAGGGCAGUUGUGAAAGUUUGCGGUUCAACCGUAAAAUUGCAAUUGAUACUGGCAGUCUUGAGUACAGUUGAGGUAGGCGGAAUUCGUGGUGUAGCGGUGAAAUGCUUAGAUAGCACGAAGAACCACGAUUGCGAAGGCAGCUUACUAAACUGUGACUGACAUUGAUGCUCGAAAGUGUGGGUAUCAAACAGGAUUAGAUACCCGGGUAGUC
rnacentral:rRNA from 1 species